CUUUUCGAAUUUUUUUUUUUUUAAAGUACCACUUUCUUCUGGCAACAUGGGCAGGACUUUUCCUGGGAAAAACGGGGAAAAUAACAGACACUGAAGCCACUGGAUAAGUGCAAAGACCCAGAGGGAAUGACUUAAAGCCAUGCAACAUGAAAAAAAAAUAGACUGAACUCUGAAGACUCUGUGUUUGAACAAAUUUGGAGUAACACAUCAAUCCCUUCCCAGCAGAGAAGAAAAACCAGUUCUGCUUGUCAGCUCAUUUUCUGUUCUAGUUUAGUUUUGUGCAUUGAGAGAACAUUACACGUUGAAAUAGUCUGGUAAGAGAAGGAUGUAGCAAAGUUAACUAUUGGCUAAACCAACUUUCAAAUUACCAGGAGCAAGUAUUCAGAUGUUCAGAAUAACAGGGAUCACAUUCCCACUCAGAAGUUUGCUUCCAUAGCAUUCUGGCCCAUUUUCAACACUAUUUAAAACAUUACAUAAGGCAAGAAGUACUCUGUAUUCUCAUUGCAGAGCUCACUGAGAAAGCAGCCUUGGUAUGUUGCAAUAACUGUGGUAUUAGAAGCAAGACAGACAUUAAAGUGCAAUUACCAGGCUCUAUCUUGCAUAGAAACAUUACAAAAAGACCAAACAAUCACAGAAAAAAUAUAUUGCAAUCAUGAAACCUUUCUACUACAGCAAAUAAACCCUGUGCCUGUUAGUUUUCAGCUCCUCUGUCUACUUUGAUACGUUCCCUUUUCUCUAGUCUUUGUACAGUCAUGUCCUGAAGUAUUGUCUCAGUUUCACUUGCUCAGAACUCCACCACUGGCACCCAGCAGUUUAUCAUGGGUUCAUCUGAGCUAUUAAAUGCCUUCUUUAACUCUGUUACAGAAAUGAAACUAUAGUCUCUUCUCAUAAGCUAAAUCCUCUGACUAGCCUUUGCUAUUUCAUCCCCAUUUGGUCCCACUCAAUCAUACUGCCAAUUUUUUUCUUGCCUUUUCUGAUAAUAGGAUUAUCAUGGCAACUGAUAAGAUACCACUUUCUAAGUGGUUUUAUGAACUACCAGCCAUACUGCUCCACAGUCAUGGAUGAAAGAAAUAAAACUGAAAAGCAGCUUGUGGAACAAGUUGCUACCCAGACUGCCAACAUCGGUGAAAACCUAGCAAUGACAAGGUACUAAGAUAAAACUGACUCAGAAGAGUUCUAGACCAAGUACAAGAAUAAUCCAUACGAAGAAAUUAAGAGAAAAUGGAAGUCAGAAGCUUUGAGAUGUGAAUUGGAGCACUAAUCCAAGAGCAAAAAUGUGAUGGCACUGUACAUGAUGUAAAAACAAAGUGGUGCUGAAUUCUGCAGGGAAGGAAGCUGAAACCAGCAAGCUGAGAGACAACCAGAUCCAACCGAGAUUUGUGGCACUGCCAAACAAAACAGGAGAAAAAGUCUGGCUCUUACUGGUACUAUUCAUGCAGAAGUCUCACUGCCCUUUCCUCACAAAAACACGAGAAAGACAGCAGAGUACUGUAGAGACAGCAGAGAUGUCAAAAACAUGAACCUGGAUGAUUCACAGCCCGAGGGGAAGGGACAGCAACACUUGGGACUGGAGCGAACGAAUGAGAGAAGCACACGUUACCCUUGCGCACAAAAGCGAUGAACUCCUUCACUGUCUGAUCCAAGGGGACGCCAUGGUACACCACAGGUCUGAAAUUACGGUGCUCAAAAGAGCGCACAAGACGAACUGUGACGGUCGAGCUUUCUGCUGACAUGAGAAUUAAUUCUGAAUAACCUG